rfam:Gossypium arboreum cultivar AKA8401 contig_45617_1, whole genome shotgun sequence.
AUUCUAUGGUGAGAGUAUUUGCAUAACAUUUCUAUAAAUCUUUCCCACGCCUCAUACGAGGAUCGUCAUCCAUCUGUUGUAAGAUAGUGAUCUUAUUUCGUAAUUU